ACUCAACGUUAAUUCUUUAAAAAGGGUGAGUUUAAGUUGUAAAAGCAUGCUGCCUUGAGCAGACCCUUGAUCAGCUUGUUAGCCCUAAACUUGUUUUUAAGGAGUUU
rfam:Flaviramulus basaltis strain DSM 18180 genome assembly, contig: Ga0104527_104